rnacentral:lncRNA from 1 species
CGGAAACGUGUCCGAGCACAGGGGCGUGAGCCCUGGUGCUCCGGAUGCCCUCGGUGCAGGUGCUGCGCUCCAGACACCCUGGCCACGUGGCAGGAGGCCAGCAGUGGUGAGCAGAGGGACAGGGCUGGUGUUGACUGGGCCCCUCCUUAAACUUGCUUGAAAGUCUGAAAUUUACCAAGUAAGAUUCGGGGGGUGGGAGAGACAAUGAAGCCAGACCCUCUUCUGGGAGACAGUGUGGACAGGAGGAGCUGUUUGGGGCUGCGGCACCACCUGAGCCCUGGGGGACAGCGUGAGCAGCCACUGUGGAUGCAGCCAGCUCUGAACCCGCAGCACAGGAGCCAGUGACACUGUGGGUCAGGGUCAGGUCAGGGUCUUCCGAGGCCCACCCAGGGGGGCAGCAGACACUGCCUUCCAGCCCUGCCCGCCUGCUCCUCAGGGGCUCCAGCAGUCUUCACCCUCCACUCAGGCAGGAAGGGGCAGAAGCCUGGUGACACCUGUCGGGGUUCUGUGGGGUGCUGCUCUGCUGGGGUCAGAGGUCUCCAGGGCACCUGCUGCCGUCCCUGGGGAUGCAGAUGUCCCAGCCUUGCAGCCGCAGAGCAGUUCGGGCGGGGGUCGGCCUCCGGCAACCCGUGGUGCUCCACGGAGCAGAGGCUGGCACCUGGGGGUGAGUGUGGGCAGAGCUGGGGCUGAACCAGGCACUGGACCGCACCUGUCUGAAGGCCGUAUUCUCAGAAGCACCGAAGCUGGUGAGGACGGCCAUGAGCUCCAGGGAGCGCACAUUUUUGACAGAUGGGCGGAGAAGGUCUGCUGCAGCUGCCGCUGGCAUUUGGUUGGGAAGCGUCCACAGCUGUGCAGGAUCAUUAAGGGGCUGGUGUCCACGGGGAGGUCUGCGCCUCUGCUGAUUCCUCAGGAUGGAAACUCCUCGUGCAGCUGAGCCAUCAGCCCUUCUGUCAGCACCCCAAGAGCGCUGCGGCAGGAGAGGCGCGAGGCCGCCGAGGAGGGACGCCGCCCCGCUACCAGGUGAGUGGUGGUGGCGCGCCCACCCUCUGUCCUGUGGAUGAGCAGCAGGGUCAUUCCAGAUGGGCAGAGGCAACGGGUUCUGCAAGUUAGUUACCCUGUGCCGCGACGUGUUCCCGGUGGCUAGAUGGGCCCGUGGACACGGGGCCCUGACCCACUGGGGCCGCUACGCAGGGCUGGGUGGAGGUAACCAGGGUGGGAAGGAAUGUCCCACGGAGCGGGAGGCUGUCAGGACGUGGGUCCAGACACCCGGGGGCUCCAGCUCGACCCCACAAUGCCUGGUGAGAGAUGUUCCCAAGUCCUCCCAACCCAGAGACGCCCUGCCACUGUGUAAGUGUCACCAUCAAACAGGGCUAGAGGCUGGAAAGCAGCGGGAGCAGGCUGUGUGGGGAGGGAAGGAGGAGGCCUGGCCACCUCCCGGGGCAGCUCUCCUCCCAGCAGUGAGGGCCGCCGAGGGAGGGCACGUCUGGGUGAGGCCAAUGGUCUGUGGGGGUGGCCAGAGCAGCACGCCACGGGGGAGAGGCAGGCGUCCUCCAGUUCUCUGUGCCUUGAGGCUCGCAGUGGGCAGGGCGAGGGAGCACUCCAGCCUGGUGACAGGGACCGUGUGGAAGACGACCAGCGGUGGUGCAUCAACUACCAAGUGCGGCGAGUCUCUUACGGGUGGACCGCUGUUCUGCGUCUUCUCCUCACACGUGGAGACUUCCGAGUGCCGUCUGCAGCUCUGUGCCUCAGCACUGUGCUCCCCGUCAGGCUGGGCAGGGGUGGACCAAGGGGCGCCUGUGCCCUGGAGGGGCCACGCCCAGGUCCCCCCACACCUGGUUCCAAGGAGGGCCGGCAGCCUCACUGCACGUCUGCCCAGUGUCCACAGCAUGGCACCCACCCGUCCUCGGAAAGUAGCCUCCGUCACCCAGUCAGCGUGCCAGUGGCCAACGUGCCUGGCACCAACCAGGCGCUAGAGGAGCCUGGCUGGCUGCUCCCAGGGAAGCUGGGGUGAGCGGGCACUGGGGUGACACUAAGUGCUAGAGACGGAGCCUCCAGAGUGACGCGUCUCAGGAGGGAAGGCGUGGGCACCCAGAAGACCUGCCGGGCGUGGAGGGUGGGGAGCUCUGUGCCCACGAGGACCACAGCCCGGGGCCCGGGGCAGACGAGGGCCCUGCCUGGAUCUGACUGCUCCUCCUGGCAGAAGUGCUGGACAGCAGACCUGUGCGUGGCAACUGCUCUGCACACCUGCCCUCCGAGCACCGGGGUCUCCCGUCCCCCUCCAGGGAGAGCACCAGAGCCCCGCCCUCAGGUGGAAGGCGCUGACCCCAGAGCACUGUGUGCACUUUGGGCCCCGUCCUCCCCCUUGCUCCAGGGCUCAGACUCCGGAGCCCAUGCCCACAACCAGAGCCCACUCCCCAGCUGCUGGCUGAGUGCAGGCCAUGCCCUCUACCUGGGCCCAGAAUGGGUGGACACACCUGUGGCAGACAGGGCCACACUCGAGCCUCGCCUGGGAAGGGCAGCCUCCCGAGAGGGGCAGCAGGAGGACGCAGGGCCCUUGUCAUUCACGUUCUGACUGCACAGCACCAGGCAGAGCAGAGUGGGUGGAGCCUGUGUGCCCGGCAUGCCAGACCCCGGGACUCCAGGGUACAGGGGCAGCACGUCCUGGCCAGGUGCCACAGGGAGGCAGGGCACGGGCACCACCACCCCAGCGUGCUUCCCUUCAGGGGAAGGAGCAGGACUGGGGAGGGCGCUGGUCCCCAGGGCAGAGGGAGGGGCACAGCCCUGGAAAGGAGGUGACAGAAAUGUGAUCAGUCUUUGGUGGUCACCAAGCCAGACGCAGCUGACAAGUACAUUCAGCUGGUGAGUUGGCCACAGACCGGCCGUACCCCAACACGCAGGCAGGACGCUCAGGCGGGUUUCCGGGACAGCGGCCUCCCCUGCCUCCCUCUCUCAGAGGCAGAUCUGGAAGGACUGCCCCAGCAAGCAAGUGACAGGGAGCAGCAGAGGUGUCCACAGGCCUCUGUGGUCAGAAAGGCUCCUGGUCGACUCCUCGGUGCUUGACGGUGCGUGAGGAGGAAGGCAAAGCCGGCGCCUGGGUCGCGGUGCGCGAGCCCCUGACAGAGGAAGGUGCUGCUUCCGAGCGGGCAGCGGGCUCCCCAACAUGUCUGCAGAGGUGACAGGCUAGCUGGUCACCCAGGCGGAAGGUGUGCUAGCAGCCCAGACUGCAGCAGAACAUCGCACCCCGCAGUGACAAGGACGGGCAAUGACGAGGACGUGGGCCAUGAAAGCCAAGGUUGCCGAGUUCCACAGGCCAGGGAGGGGCCAGGGACAGCUGGAGACAGCAGCAGAGUCGACGUUCCCACUGUGGCCACAGCGAACCCACGGCCACCCUGGCUGGGCCGCACGCUCUUCCGGGGGAUGAACAGAAGCGUGCAGGACGGUCAGAGGCUCCCGGUCAGGGGGCACCAUGCUAAGAGUGACAGGGGUCUGGGAGAAAGCAGAGCAACUUGCCGGAAGGCCGUGAGGGGACCUCGCGGGUCACUGGGAGAACAAGGGUCACUCAGCAGACGGGAAAGGCAGCACUUCACAAGACCACCACAGGGACCCAGAUGUCCAGAGAGACGGGAGCCAUCAAGAUGAAAGGAAACUCCCUAUCUACGUUCCAGGGUGAGCGAGGGCUCCCAGGAAGCAGGAAGGAGUCCCAGGGAAGGACGGGUACCAGCAGCACCUGGAGCCCAGCACGGCCAGCAGCCGCAGUGCGGGCCACCCUGGGGCAGCCCCCACGGUCGGGGCAGCAAGACCCAGAGCACCUCCAGCUCCCCCAGUCAACCACCUCCCCCAGGAAGCCCACAAGCCCUGGUCCCCAGGAGUGGGCGGGAGGUGGCCAAGCAAACGGACUUUACCAGAGAUCAGAAACACAGAUGGCAGAGGGAGAGGCCAGUGUCUGCCAGGAGGACUGCCGGGACCCGGCCUCAUGGCUCCCCUCAGAUGUGGCGAUGCCCCCGCAGUUCAGUGCCAACAGUGGCUCAAGAGGACUGUAAGACCUGAGAUAGUUGGUGGCAGGGGCCGUCUUGACCUCACUUAGACUCUUAGGGAUGUCUCCUGCAGAAAUGAGAAGCCACACUGGCCAUUCUGUGCCUCAGGACAUCAACUGCAGCAAGACCUGUGACAGCCACAUGGUGACAGGCUUCACGGUGUGGCCACACACAGAGCCACGGGCUUCUUAGAAGACUUCAGAACUACUUGACAAGGCCAAGUGUGCGACACAGAGUAUAUUCAGAAAUACAGAAAUACACAAAUGCUGAACGCAGAGAAGGCGUGGCCUGCAUCAUGGAGGCAUAUUGGCCCUCGCCAGCGUUAUCUCCCCAAAGACUCUCAGAUGGUAUCAUCAAGUCGACACCAGCUGUGUGCUCAUUCCUUCCUCUACCCACUCUGUGUCCACUCACUACCCACGUAUCCACCCCAUCUAUCCACUCACCCAUCCACCAAUCAACCUCAUCCACACAUCCACUCACAUAUCCUGUCAAUCACCUCAUCUAUCCACCCACCCAUCUGUCUGUCCCCCUAUCCACCCACCCCAGCCCAUCUGUCCAUUUUUCAUCCAGCUCUCCACCUACCACCUGCCCAUCCAACUACUUGUCUAUCUAUCCAUUCACCCAUCCACCCAUCCACCCAUCUGUCUACCCAUUCGCCCAUAUAUCCACCCAUCCACCCAUCAAUCCAUCCAGCCAUUCAUCCAUUCAUCUAUCCAUCAUUCAGCCCUUCACCCAUCAGUCUACCCACUCAUUCACCUGUCUGUCCAUCCAUCCACCACCCACCAUCCACCCAUCCAACCACCAUCCACCUAGCCAACCAACCAACCAGCUGAACUUUCAUUUGCUGUGUCCCUGGGGUCUGAGGAUGCACAGGACACUGUGUGUCCUUAGGGAUGGAGAGUCUCUGGAGAAGAUGGAGUACCGAGGCCACUGUGAUGAAGUCACAGGAGGUGGUGUGAAGACAGACCCAGGCACCGCAGCCCAGGAGCCUGCUGACUCUGCUGCACACAGGAUCCGCCCAACAGCCACGCGUCCUUGGGCUUCACAUCUCCUUGUUGUUUGCACAUGUCUUUCACACUCCUCCUGCCCUCCAGGACGGGCACAGCCAGCCUCCUGGGGACGGCACAGGCCGUCCACUUUGUGCCCACAGCCCUGUCCUUGCUGCCGUGGGCAGCCUUUCCUGGGGCCUCUGCCUGAGCACCUGGGUCCACGUGCCUGACACCCCUGCCCAGGGGGCUUAUGUGAGAAGCCCAGCAGGUGUCUAAUGUGUGCCCUUGGGGGACAACAAGUAAGGAGACUGCGUAUUCCUGCCCCUCCACCCUGUCUGCUCAGAGGCUGCUUCAGAAGGUGAUAAUGUCUUUCUUUCUUUGUGAAGUCACCUCUGAUUGCGUGACCCCUUCUGAUUACACCUUCUCAAGAAGCCAAUAACUUACUGAUCAGGACUCCGUGGCUCCUCCUUGGUGUAUGAGUGCAUGACUGUGUGCGUGUGUAUCACUGAUCAUGUGUGUGCCGGGUGUGGCUAUGUGAGUGCAUGUGGAGGUGUGUCACUGGGCAACGUGUGUGGCUGUGAAUGUGGCUGUACAUGGCUAGAUGUGAGUGCACCCGUAUGGCUGUGUGUGUGGCUGUGUAGUUGGUGUGAGUCUUGUGUGUCUGUGUGAGACUGCGAGUGUGCAUGAGCCUGGAUCUGGGUGCUCUAGGAUCCACCUGGGUGCAGACCUGGUGACCUCUUGUCCCAGGGCUCACUACUUGCAUGUGACAGCAGGUGUCUGCUUGUACUUCCUGAUGUCCAGGAAGGGUGACAGGAGGGAAGAGGGCUUGUGACAUGGGCAUCAUGAACAACCUUGACCCAUCUGUGGUCACUCAGGGUCCACUCUGUCGGCCACAGGGCAGUGCCUGGGUGUGAGGGAGGUUCUAGAUGGUAGGUGGCCCAUGCAGAGGGC